CUAUUUUGACAAUAGCCGAUGCCCUUUCUUUUGAUGCCCUUACACGGACGCUGCUUGCAUGGUGGGCGAACGUGCCAUAGCCCAUUUCAUGUGUUAGGGCAACGCAGAUUAGACGGCACCCUACAUUGUAUCUGUACGAAAGGCGAAUACUCUAUUAUGACAAG
rnacentral:ncRNA from 1 species